UACGAGUGCCUCAAGCGUUAUCCGGAAUUAUUGGGCGUAAAGAGCUCGUAGGCGGUUUGUCGCGUCUGCCGUGAAAACCCGAGGCUUAACCUCGUGGCUUGCGGUGGAUACGGGCAGACUAGAGGUAGGUAGGGGAGAAUGGAAUUCCCGGUGUAGCGGUGAAAUUCGUAGAUAUCGGGAGGAAUACCAGUGGCGAAGGCGGCGACCUGGGCCAAUACUGACGCUGAAGCGCGAAAGCUAGGGGAGCAAACGGG
rnacentral:rRNA from 1 species